UGGGGAAUCUUGGACAAUGGGCGCAAGCCUGAUCCAGCCAUGCCGCGUGAGUGAAGAAGGCCUUCGGGUUGUAAAGCUCUUUUGUCAGGGAAGAAACGGUAGUAGCGAAUAACUAUUACUAAUGACGGUACCUGAAGAAUAAGCACCGGCUAACUACGUGCCAGCAGCCGCGGUAAUACGUAGGGUGCAAGCGUUAAUCGGAAUUACUGGGCGUAAAGCGUGCGCAGGCGGUUGUGUAAGUCAGAUGUGAAAUCCCCGGGCUCAACCUGGGAAUUGCAUUUGAGACUGCACGGCUAGAGUGUGUCAGAGGGGGGUAGAAUUCCACGUGUAGCAGUGAAAUGCGUAGAUAUGUGGAGGAAUACCGAUGGCGAAGGCAGCCCCCUGGGAUAACACUGACGCUCAUGCACGAAAGCGUGGGGAGCAAACAGGAUUAGAUACCCACGUAGUCCCUGAGCGGGCUGGCAAGGCGCAU
rnacentral:rRNA from 1 species